rnacentral:rRNA from 1 species
UACGGAGGGUGCGAGCGUUGUCCGGAAUCACUGGGCGUAAAGGGCGCGUAGGUGGCGGGUCAAGCGUGCGGUGAAAGCUCGGGGCUCAACCCCGAGUCGGCCGUGCGAACUAGCUCGCUGGAGCACUGUAGAGGCAGGUGGAAUUCCGGGUGUAGGCGGUGGAAUGCGUAGAGAUCCGGAAGAACACCGGUGGCGAAGGCGGCCUG